AUUGAACGCUGGCGGCAGGCCUAACACAUGCAAGUCGAGCGGAUGAAGGGAGCUUGCUCCUGGAUUCAGCGGCGGACGGGUGAGUAAUGCCUAGGAAUCUGCCUGGUAGUGGGGGAUAACGUCCGGAAACGGGCGCUAAUACCGCAUACGUCCUGAGGGAGAAAGUGGGGGAUCUUCGGACCUCACGCUAUCAGAUGAGCCUAGGUCGGAUUAGCUAGUUGGUGGGGUAAAGGCCUACCAAGGCGACGAUCCGUAACUGGUCUGAGAGGAUGAUCAGUCACACUGGAACUGAGACACGGUCCAGACUCCUACGGGAGGCAGCAGUGGGGAAUAUUGGGCAAUGGGCGAAAGCCUGAUCCAGCCAUGCCGCGUGUGUGAAGAAGGUCUUCGGAUUGUAAAGCACUUUAAGUUGGGAGGAAGGGCAGUAAGUUAAUACCUUGCUGUUUUGACGUUACCAACAGAAUAAGCACCGGCUAACUUCGU
rnacentral:rRNA from 1 species